ACAAAAAUAAAUAAAAAAGAUGUAACUUCAUGAAGGGAGUCAGUCUUUUACCCUUCAGCUGACCUCCGGCGUUUUCAGUAUUUCCCUUUUAAAAGGACAGCACCAUGAGGGGUUUUUAUUUAGCAGAAAUAGUCGGCCAUCUUUGACUUGUGAUUCAUUGUGUUGUAAGACAAUUUGUAGCGUGCUGAGUGCAAAAGUGUAAAAGUUCUCCCCCGAAGGUUAAUGUUUCAUUUCAUAAAAAGUGUAAUAAGUGUUUUAUGAGCUGAUCUUUGUGUCACACAGAAAAUGAAACUGCAGGAAGCUCUGAGUGCUGCUGCUCUCAAAGUCGAGUCUAUAAAAUCCAUCUCUGCAGAGCGUAGGGGUCAGAGUUUAGUGAGACCCUGACUCACUUUAGAAAACCAGCUGCAGUUUCCUGAUCUGUUGCAGCGAGCUUCAUUGUUGCAGAUAUAUUUUAGUGGCGGUGUGUUUAAUGAAGACAGAUUGUGAGCGUCUGCAGUCCAUCAUGGUGUACCAUCACCAUCGCCCUGACAUGAUGUGUGUUCAGAGUGAUGGAUCGCUCAGAUUCAGGAGGGAUCCAGUCUUUGUAACUGAUUGAUUUUUAUUCUGCACAGAAAAGAAAGGAAAGUGUUGGCAGACAAAAAUGUGUGAAAAAUCCAAAACGGAGAUUUAUUUUCAAAAACAACCAGCCGCUCUUUUUAAGUCUUUUCGUAAAUAAAUCUCAACACGUAAAGAAUAUGUUGAUCUUAAGCAAAUCCCACUGAAGCGCCCUUAUGGGGGAAUUCAGUUUGGAGCACUUUGGCGCCCACCGAAGGUCUCUGAGUGCAACUGCACUGUCAGCAAACACACAUGUAGCCAGCUCAGCGUCAGGCUUGCAGGUUACUUCAUGAACGUGUAAAACACAGAGACGGGCUAACUGGCUGCUGUGUGCUGUGACGCUCAGAGAACCUCGGCCCGCUGCUGAAGUUACACGGUGCUGAAAGCGGUCGACAGGGGUGCUCUGUGGACACAACUGAAAGAGCCUAAAAGUCUUAGAAAUAUUUUUGUUUGAUUCAGAUUCUGUCUCAGAAAACGUAAAGCCCUGAAAGUCUUACAAAGAUUAGCAUCAUGAUAUUUCAUAAACGGGGCGUUGAGGGGCUUAUAGGCCUGACGUCUUUUCAAAGGGUUCAGAUGAGGAUAAAUGAAGUCUGUUUAUGUGCAAAAGUGAUGUCACCACAAAUUCCCCCUUUUGUUUUUCUUUUGGCUGAAAACGUUUCCAGUUUAGAUGGUUGUGUUGGAUUAAAUUCUUAGAUUGGAGAUAAAAAUGGACGCAGAGAAAAGUGCCUCACACCUGCACUUCUUCUCAUGUCCAGCAGGGGGCAAAGUCCAGGAGUGGUUGUAAUGAUUUUCCUCUCGAGUUUAUAAUCUCAAUCUCCAGUUUCAGUUCAUCUUCAGAGCUGCGUGAUGUUCAUUUAGUAAAUGAUGGUCCCAUUAAGAGUCAAAGACAGCAGGGGAGGAGUUAGGGCGGGGCUACUUGUGAUUGAUAGGCUGCUACCACAGCAACCUGCCAACCAGGAUUGAGGCCUAAUGAUGUCAGAACCAGAGCCAGAAUCAGCUUUGUUAGCCAGGUUUGUGUGAACAUACAACAGAUUUAACUCCACAUAAGAAUAAUAAAUAAGAUAACACAUUAUGUAAUCAUGUAACAAAGGAGCUUAUUAACAAGAGGCAGAUCUUUUUUAAUAAGCGAAUAUCUCCUCCAGAAAUUGUCACUUCUCGCUGCAAAAACUCAACAUGCCAAAAUCCAAAAAUCCCGACACAAAGCUUCAUGACUGCAGUCCUCAAACAUACAGGAAGCUUCUCUGUGACUUCACCCACCUCUCUGAACUGCAGCUUUUUCACUCUGACUCUUUUAGUUUCCUCUCUGGAAACACACCUCAUCAGAGCCGCCGUCAUUGGCUGAUUGAUGACCCACUUUUUUAACGAUGGAUAGUUUUUUAAAACUCAUUCACCAGCCAAACUGUUUGAUCCAGAUUCUCACAUUGGAGGAUUUGCUGCUUUUUCUGUCGCUGUUGCAUCAUCGUCGCUGAAUUUAUUUUGGGGGUUUUGAGAGUUUGUGCUUCUUUGAAAGUCAACAGAUUAUUAGUGUUUUUGCAGGAACAGGCGGCGGUGAUUUCUGUGCUCUGUAAAGUGGUCGUCUGCACGCCGCAGUCCAUCCCCGUUCCCACAAACAUCUACAUGUCAUCCAGUUCCAGAGCUCAGACGAAACGAGGGCCUGACACGGGUCACAGUUUAGACGCUGCACAGCCGAUACGAGGAGAUUAUUUGACCAGGAAAAAAAAAAUAUGGAGGGGAAAAAAAAAAACCCUCUGCUGGAAGACUUAGGAGAUAACAUCAAAUCGGUAUUAAGCUACACAGACAGAUAGCAUUGCCAUGGAUAAAAUAUUUAGCUGGCUUUCCGAAUCAGCCUUCCUCUCCCUCGCUCUGCAUUUGUGAGUGUGUGUGUGUGUGUGUGUGAGUGUGUGUG